GUCUAUGGCCAUACCACCCUGAACACUCCCGAUCUCGUCUGAUCUUGGAAGCUAAGCAGGGUCAGGCCUGGUUAGUACUUGAAUGGGGGAAUGAUGACUUAAAUUAUCCAGUGGUGAUAAUUU
rnacentral:rRNA from 1 species